UACAGAGGGGGCAAGCGUUGUCCGGAAUCAUUGGGCGUAAAGCGCGUGUAGGCGGUUACGUAAGUCUGCUGUGAAAGUCGGAGGCUCAACCUUCGAAAGCCGGUGGAUACUGCGUGACUAGAGUACGGAAGAGGAGAGUGGAAUUCCUGGUGUAGCGGUGAAAAUGCGCAGAUAUCAGGAGGAACACCAACGGCGAAGGCAGCUCUCUGGGACGUUACUGACGCUGAGACGCGAAAGCGUGGGGAGCAAACAGG
rnacentral:rRNA from 1 species